rnacentral:rRNA from 1 species
AAAUGAAUUGACGGGGGCCCGCACAAGCAGCGGAGCGUGUGGUUUAAUUCGAGGCUACACGAAGAACCUUACCUGGGUUUGACAUGCAAGUGGUAGUGAACCGAAAGGGGAACGACCUUCGGGAGCUUGCACAGGUGCUGCAUGGCUGUCGUCAGCUCGUGCCGUGAGGUGUUCGGUUAAGUCCGCAAACGAGCGCAACCCCCGGGGUUAGUUACAAGUGUCUAACCCGACUGCCUGUGAGAAACAGGAGGAAGGUGGGGAUGACGUCAAGUCAGCAUGGCCUUUAUAUCCAGGGCUACACACACGCUACAAUGGGCGGUACAACAGGUUGCGAAGCCGCGAGGUGGAGCCAAUCCCGAAAGCCGUUCGUAGUUCGGAUUGCAGGCUGCAACUCGCCUGCAUGAAGUUGGAGUUGCUAGUAACCGCGCGUCAGCUAUAGUGCGGUGAAUACGUUCCCGGGCCUUGUACACACCGCCCGU